GUGAGCAAUCUGCUCCUGACUCUGGGAUAACAGCUGGAAACAGCUGCUAAUACCGGAUACGAGUUGCGAAGGCAUCUUCAGCAGCUGGAAAGAAUUUCGGUCAGGGAUGAGCUCGCGGCCUAUCAGCUUGUUGGUGAGGUAAUGGCUCACCAAGGCGUCGACGGGUAGCCGGCCUGAGAGGGUGACCGGCCACACUGGGACUGAGACACGGCCCAGACUCCUACGGGAGGCAGCAGUGGGGGAUAUUGCACAAUGGGCGAAAGCCUGAUGCAGCAACGCCGCGUGAGGGACGACGGCCUUCGGGUUGUAAACCUCUUUUAGCAAGGAAGAAGCGAAAGUGACGGUACUUGCAGAAAAAUCGCCGGCUAACUACGUGCCAGCAGCCGUGGUAAUACGUAGGGCGCAAGCGUUAUCCGGAAUUAUUGGGCGUAAAGAGCUCGUAGGCGGUUUGUCGCGUCUGCUGUGAAAACCCGAGGCUCAACCUCGGGCCUGCAGUGGGUACGGGCAGACUAGAGUGCGGUAGGGGAGAUUGGAACUCCUGGUGUAGCGGUGGAAUGCGCAGAUAUCAGGAAGAACACCGAUGGCUAAGGCAGAUCUCUGGGCCGUAACUGACGCUGAGGAGCGAAUGGGAUUAGAUACCCCAGUAGUC
rnacentral:rRNA from 1 species